rnacentral:rRNA from 1 species
AUACGUAGGGGGCGAGCGUUGUCCGGACUGAUUGGGCGUAAAGGGCGCGUAGGCGGCCCGGUAAGUCUGGAGUGAAAGUCCUGUUUUUAAGAUGGGAAUUGCUUUGGAUACUGUCGGGCUUGAGUGCAGGAGAGGUAAGUGGAAUUCCCAGUGUAGCGGUGAAAUGCGUAGAGAUUGGGAGGAACACCAGUGGCGAAGGCGACUUACUGGACUGUAACUGACGCUGAGGCGCGAAAGUGUGGGGAGCAAACAGGAUUAGAUACCCUGGUAGUCCACACUGUAAACGAUGAAUGCUAGGUGUAGGGGGUAUCGACCCCUUCUGUGCCGCAGUCAACACAAUAAGCAUUCCGCCUGGGGAGUACGGCCGCAAGGUUGAAACUCAAAUGAAUCGACGGGG